CAGUCGCCACGGGAAUACAGAGGAUGCAAGCGUUAAUCGGAAUUACUGGGCGUAAAGCGUGCGUAGGCGGUGAGUUAAGUCUGCUGUGAAAUCCCCGGGCUCAACCUGGGAAUGGCAGUGGACACUGGCUCGCUAGAGUGUGUCAGAGGAUGGUGGAAUUCCCGGUGUAGCGGUGAAAUGCGUAGAGAUCGGGAGGAACAUCAGUGGCGAAGGCGGCCAUCUGGGACAACACUGACGCUGAGGCACGAAAGCGUGGGGAGCAAACAGGAUUAGAUACCCGCGUAGUCCCUGUCUCUUAUAC
rnacentral:rRNA from 1 species